UGGGAGCAUCAACACCUACUGCUGUUGGCACAGGAUUUUGGGAAAUGAGUUGAAGUCUUUGAGGCAGGACAGACAUUUCUGCUGGUGGGUACCACAGUUUCCAAACUCCUGUGCUGUCCCUUUAUGAGGUAAUGCCACCAGUUUCCUGGUAGACCAUAUAUACAGAGUUUUGUGGGCAUCCUGGAAUGGUUCCCCACUUCCACAGUGCACUGUGGGAAUCCAAAGCAGUAACAGUGGAGCCAAGGAGCAAAGACGGGAAGAUGGAGUGUUUUUCCAAGGAGGCAUUCAGGUGCUCUGAAGAACUUUAGCAGGAAAGACUCACCACACUUAGUGAUGAAAGUCUGCCUCUACAUCACUCUCUAGUGCUGUUCUGAUACACUUCAUCACCUUAAUAAAGCUCCCUUGGAAAUUAGCCUUGGUUACUCCAAAGUCUCCUGGUGGAUGCAGAAGGAAAGGACUAAUACAAUAGGAAAAGGCAAAGAUAUGUAGGGUUGUGAUCUUUUCUCCAGAAAUCCCAUGAGGCUGCUCAAGGGAUCUCAAAGUGCUGCAGUCAUCUUCCUCCUCAGCUUCAGCUCCACCAUGCCUGGAGAACGUGGUUCCACAGAGGACAACUCAUAAGUCCACUGCCCACAAGUGUUUUCCUGGAGAGCACCUAGACAGCAUCCUUCCAAUGGAAUCUGUGUGUAGGUGGGAAUUACACCUACAAAAGGUGUUACACAUGUAUGAGGGGAUGGUGACACACCUCCAAUGAUUGUUUUCAUUUGGGUUUUCUCACUUGUUCAGGUCAAUGUCUCUGAACACAAGUACUGCAAUCACAGCUUCACUGACCUGGAAGCACAUGAGGCCAUGAAAGGAAAGAUUCUCCUUUCCCCAGUCGUUUCUAAAUCCAGUAAUGGCCAGUGAAGGCCAUCACUCUCCCCAUUCACACUUCCUGUCCCAGAGAUCCCAUUACUGACAGGAUUCCCCCUUUUUCUUUGACUUCACCAUAACUGGUUCUGAACUUGCAGUUUUGUCCUGUGCAGCCUAACACAGAUCUGAAAUCAGAACAGUGAUUUCACUUAAA